AAAGCCCUGGGCUCAACCUGGGAACUGCAGUGGAUACUGGACGACUAGAGUGUGGUAGAGGGUAGCGGAAUUCCUGGUGUAGCAGUGAAAUGCGUAGAGAUCAGGAGGAACAUCCAUGGCGAAGGCAGCUACCUGGACCAACACUGACACUGAGGCACGAAAGCGUGGGGAGCAAACAGGAUUAGAUACCCUGGUAGUCCACGCCCUAAACGAUGCGAACUGGAUGUUGGGUGCAAUUUGGCACGCAGUAUCGAAGCUAACGCGUUAAGUUCGCCGCCUGGGGAGUACGGUCGCAAGACUGAAACUCAAAGGAAUUGACGGGGCCGCACAAGCGGUGGAGUAUGUGGUUUAAUUCGAUGCAACGCGAAGAACCUU
rnacentral:rRNA from 1 species